rnacentral:rRNA from 1 species
UAAGGAAUAUUGGACAAUGGAGGAAACUCUGAUCCAGCCAUGCCGCGUGAGUGAAGAAGGCCUUAGGGUUGUAAAGCUCUUUCAAUGGUGAAGAUAAUGACGGUAGCCAUAGAAGAAGCCCCGGCUAAAUUCGUGCCAGCAGCCGCGGUAAUACGAAUGGGGCAAGCGUUGUUCGGAAUCACUGGGCUUAAAGCGUGCGCAGGCGGAUAUGAAAGUCAGAAGUGAAAGCCUUGGGCUCAACCCGAGAAUUGCUUUUGAAACUUCAUAUCUCGAAUCCGGUAGAGGUUGGGAGAAUUCCUAGUGUAGAGGUGAAAUUCGCAGAUAUUAGGAGGAAUACCAGUGGCGUAGGCGCCCAACUGGACCGGCAUUGACGCUCAUGCACGAAAGCGUGGGGAGCAAA